rnacentral:rRNA from 1 species
GAUGAACGCUGGCGGCGUGCUUAAUACAUGCAAGUCGAACGAAGCGCCUCUCCCGAAGAUAGACCCAGCUUGCUGGGGAUUGAUUCACCUGAGGUGACUGAGUGGCGGACGGGUGAGUAACGCGUGGGUAACCUGCCUUAUACAGGGGGAUAACAGUUGGAAACGACUGCUAAUACCGCAUAAGCGCACAGUACCGCAUGGUACAGUGUGAAAAACUCCGGUGGUAUAAGAUGGACCCGCGUCUGAUUAGCUAGUUGGUGAGGUAACGGCUUACCAAGGCAACGAUCAGUAGCCGACUUGAGAGAGUAAUCGGCCACAUUGGGACUGAGACACGGCCCAAACUCCUACGGGAGGCAGCAGUAGGGAAUAUUGCACAAUGGGGGAAACCCUGAUGCAGCGACGCCGCGUGAAGGAUGAAGUAUUUCGGUAUGUAAACUUCUAUCAGCAAGGAAGAAAAUGACGGUACUUGACUAAGAAGCCCCGGCUAAAUACGUGCCAGCAGCCGCAGUAA